rnacentral:rRNA from 1 species
GUGGGGAAUCUUGCGCAAUGGGCGAAAGCCUGACGCAGCAACGCCGCGUGCGGGAUGAAGGCCUUCGGGUUGUAAACCGCUUUCAGCAGGGACGAAAAUGACGGUACCUGCAGAAGAAGCUCCGGCUAACUACGUGCCAGCAGCCGCGGUAAUACGUAGGGAGCAAGCGUUGUCCGGAUUUAUUGGGCGUAAAGAGCUCGUAGGCGGUUUCGUAAGUCGAGUGUGAAAAAUCUGGGCUUAACCCAGUGGAGCACUCGAUACUGCGAUGACUUGAGUCUGGUAGAGGAGUGUGGAAUUCCUGGUGUAGCGGUGAAAUGCGCAGAUAUCAGGAGGAACACCAACGGCGAAGGCAGCACUCUGGGCCAGUACUGACGCUGAGGAGCGAAAGCGUGGGGAGCAAACAGGAUUAGAAACCCUUGUAGUCC